rnacentral:rRNA from 1 species
UACGUAGGGUGCGAGCGUUAAUCGGAAUUACUGGGCGUAAAGCGUGCGUAGGCGGUUCGUUAAGUUCGUUGUGAAAGCCCCGGGCUCAACCUGGGAAUGGCAAUGGAAACUGGCGGGCUGGAGUAUGGCAGAGGGGGGUGGAAUUCCGCGUGUAGCAGUGAAAUGCGUAGAGAUCAUGAGGAAGACCAGUGGCGAAGGCGGGUCUCUGGACAGUUCCUGACACUGAGACACGAAGGCCAGGGGAGCAAACGGG